rnacentral:rRNA from 1 species
CACCAGACUCCUACGGGAGGCAGCAGUGGGGAAUAUUGCACAAUGGGGGGAACCCUGAUGCAGCGACGCCGCGUGGGUGAAGGAGCACCUCGGUGCGUAAAGCCCUAUCAGCAGGGAAGAAGAAAUGACGGUACCUGAGUAAGAAGCACCGGCUAAAUACGUGCCAGCAGCCGCGGUAAUACGUAUGGUGCAAGCGUUAUCCGGAUUUACUGGGUGUAAAGGGAGCGCAGGCGGCACGGCAAGCCUGAUGUGAAAGCCCGCGGCCCAACCGCGGGACUGCAUUGGGAACUACCGGGCUGGAGUGCCGGAGAGGUAGGCGGAAUUCCUAGUGUAGCGGUGAAAUGCGUAGAUAUUAGGAGGAACACCAGUGGCGAAGGCGGCCUACUGGACGGUGACUGACGCUGAGGCUCGAAAGCGUGGGGAGCAAACAGGAUUAGAUACCCGAGUAA